rnacentral:rRNA from 1 species
GACGAACGCUGGCGGCGUGCUUAACACAUGCAAGUCGAACGAAGUGGCGAACGGGUGAGUAACGCGUAAUCAACCUGCCCUUCUGAGGGGGACAACAGUUGGAAACGACUGCUAAUACCGCAUACUGAAGGAGGGGAUUGCGUCUGAUUGGCUAGUUGGAGGGGUAACGGCCCACCAAGGCGAAGAACAGUAGCCGGUCUGGGGGGAUGAACGGCCACAAUGGGGCUGGGACAAGGGCCAAGCUCCUACGGGAGGGAGCAGUGGGGAAUCUUCCGCAAUGGACGAAAGUCUGACGGAGCAAAGGCGCGGGAGUGGUGACGGGCUUCGGGUUGUAAAGCUCUGUUAAUCGGGACGCGGUACCGGAAUAGAAAGCCACGGCUAACUACGUGCCAGCAGCCGCGGUAAUUC